rnacentral:lncRNA from 1 species
GGCCUUCAAGUUAUGCAACUAACGCUUGCUUCAUUAGUGCAUGGGUUUGAUUUUACAACCCCAUCGGAUGAACCGGUUGACAUGGGAGAGGCAAUGGGCCUAACCAUUGCUAAGGCUACUCCGCUUGAAGUGCUUGUUAGUCCGCGCCUUUCUGCUUCUUUAUAUGGUUAAAAUUAGCUUGUGUACUUAGUUAAUGCAAAUAAUUAAGUUGUACUUUUCAACAACUUAGUCAUAAAGGUGCGUUUAUCUCUUUUAAGUGUCAUGUCACUGUUGCCGUGCGUUUAGCACACUGCAUUAUGUUAAGGGUAAGUUUAAUAUAUUAUAUUGUAUUUUAAUUAUUUAAUAUUUGCUAUCUUGUAUUAAAUUGUAUCAUAUUGACAUUGUAUUGUAUUAAUAGUGUAUAACAUUUGGUACUAUAUUGUACUAUAUUGUACUAUAUUAUUUUUUAUUUAUCCCAUAUUUGGUACUGCACUGCAUUGCAUUAUAUUGAUUAUUUAGAUAAUUAAUUUAAAUUAUAAGUUGGGAAAAACAUUUUUUUUUUUAAAAGACUAAAUAUCGAAGUUAUAAAUUGUAGAAUUUUUCACAUCAAUUAUUUUCAGUCUAAAUGUAAAAUGUAUUAUAAUUCUUUUGAACACAUGUAAAAUUAACAAUUUCUAAAAUUUUCGGUAUCAUAACUUUUAUUUGUUCUAACAUUUCUCAAAUGCAUACCUUUUGAAAUAAAGAUCCAAUCAAAUAAUCUAAUAAAAUAAAUUCUAAAAAAUCAUAACAUAAAUAAAUAGAUAAAUAGUCAUCUAAACGUUAAGGAUGUUAAUAAAAAGUUUACAUAUGCUACAACAUACUAGGACCCUGAUCCCUUAAUAAAAUGGAUUGAACAAUGCACUAAGCUCCUCAUCCAACAAUGAAAAAAAUUUUACAUGAGUUUUUUUUUUUUAAUUUAUAAUCUUUCAUUAAAGAAAUUUACGAGAUACAUAGCAGGUAGGGGUGGCAAAAAAGCCUGGGCUGGCCCAGGCCCGGCCAAGCCCAGCCCAGGCCCGCGGGCCUAAAGCCCGGCCCGCACAGGUGGGCCUGGACAAGGGCUUAGCAAAAAAGCCUGGACUUGGCCCAGGCUUUUUAAAUUUAUGAAUAAAAAAAAAUAAUUUAAAUAAAAAGAAAAAAUUUAAAAUAUUAAAUUAGUUUAAUUUUUUAUAUUAGUAUUUGUUAUUUUAUUAGGUUGUAUUAUUAAUAUUUCAUGUAUUUGACCAUUAUUCUAUUUAUAUAUUAGAUUAUUAUCUUUAAUUUAAAUAUUUUUCUUAAUUUAAAAAAUAUUUUAUAAUUAAUUUUAAAGGCCCAAGCCCGGCCCGUCCAAGUUGGACGGGCUUUUAAAGGGCCUAGGCUUCGUUUGAAAGAUGCGGGCUUGGGCCUGGGCUUUAAAAAGCCCGGCCCAAGUCCACAAAUUGCCAUCCCUAAUAGCAGGCAUGAAACUUUGGCCACAUUGAUGCCAAACCCUAUGGCUUUAGCCUUUGCCAAUUCCAUCUCACCUAGAAAUUCAAUUCUAUUCAUUGAUGCCGUCAUUAACUAUCCUCUUGAGUUUCUGAUCACAACAUCUAAGCCUUUAACAACAUCACAACUUCUAAUAGCUGCAUCCGGAUCCUAAGUUAAAUUCUCCAGAUUGCAUGGCACUUAAGAAGAAAAACUUCACUUACUACUUUGUAGGACUUUAAGGGUGCGUUUGUGAUUGAGGUUGGACAGCUGUACCUUAAAAGCUACAGCACUAAAGUAUUUGGUAAACACUGAUUGCUGGAGUUUUUAAGUUAUGUUGAUAUAAAUUUUCACCUGUAUAAUAAAAAAUUUAUUAUAUUUUUAAUAAUUUUAUUAAAUUAUUAUUUAAAAUAUAUAUUUACUACAUUAUUAAUUUUUAUAUGAUAAUUAUAAUUUUUUUUCCGCAACAGCUGUAGCUUAAAAAGUACAGCACUACAAUCUCAAACGGGACCUAAGAAAUAUUCAACACAUCUCCAUAAUUCUUUCUUGGUCUACAACGCAGUGAUCAUAGUAAAAUCUAUUAGUUGCUAAUAUGUUUCUCAAUAUACCUUAAUUCUUCUUAUAACUAAUACACUUUACAGGCCAAAUUAUACAUUUGAAAAUAUUUUUAAGGAUCACACAAUUAUUUGGGGCGAGUUGACGUGGCCACGGCCGUGCUUGUUGCGGCCGCCGUUCCGGCGCUUGAAGGUCUGUCACAGAAAAAAUUAAUAUAAUAUAUCAAAUUUAUAUUAAAUAAAAACAAUUCUUUUUUUUUUUCAAUAAUAAUAUUUUUGGAAAUCAGAAAGAUAAAAUAUUUUCGCAAACCAUUCUGUUUUCUUCAAGGGAUGAAGGCGGCGACUGGCGAGAUUUGGUUGUUUGCUCGACUCAAAGUGCGGCAGGGGUUCUGAAAGUACAAUUUACAUGGCAGCUUUAUAUGGAGGAGUGACUUUCAAUAAUUCGGAAUUGAAGCCUCGUUUUUAUAAUAUUUUCACAUUGCCCCUUUUAUAUUGGAUGGUUAGGAACGGAUUAUGAUUAUAGAUAAGUAAAUUCGGACGGAUAGUUUGAGACUUAACGAGAUAAUGAUAGAUUAAAAAAAAAAUUAAAAUUCUAUCAGAUUUUAUAUAGGUAAAUAAUUAUUUAUAUUUCUAAAAAUUUAAUGAAUAGUUAUAUUUGACCCCUUUUUAUUUUUCUCGCCAACCUCCAUUACUCAGUUAACCAUAUCAUAAAUUUUUAAAUAACUUUCUAUCUCUCAACAUAAUUCAAUACUCCUAAUAUAUCAUUAGUCGAGGCCCACUGUAGUCUUCAGAUACCAGAUGAUUUAAUACACCGAAAAAAAAAAUACCAUUAUCAUCAAUUCAAUAGUCCUAAUUACACACACUCUUUCAACUUCUGCCAACUCUACAUCUCCAGCAAAAGCAGUAGUGAUGAUCUCCCCUUUGCAAUUUUUGACAACCAUGUCUAAGCCCAACCAUCAUUCCUUCUGAAGUUGAGAUUGCUGCACGAGUGAAAAAGAAUAUUGAAAUUGAAUUAUUAAUUUGGAAGAAUUUCACAACACAAUUAAACAAUAAUUGAAUAUAUUUGAGUCAUUUGACCGUAUUUUUUUUGUUAAAAAAACCCAUAUCUAGGUUCAGUUACAAAAGCCAAAUCUCUCUAAUCAUGUGUCUAGAUUCAAGGACCACAAACAAGAGAUUCCAAGAACUUGUUAACACCCUUUUAGAAAACUUGAUUUUGGAUUUUCAUGCUUGGACAAUGGCUUCUUGGAUUCCUCUCCAAUGACUCCAAUUUUGUCAUACAAUUGAUUGGAAUUGAAUGGCACAUGCUCGAUUGAUACUCUCAAGUUGAGGAGUUUUAUAAGUUUAAAAAAUGGGGUGGCUAAAAAAUAGGCUGAUGAAGAAUUUAAACAAAAAAAAGAAAGAAAGUUCGAAUAUCACUCAAAUUUAAUUCUUUUUUAUUUAAAAAAACAAAUAAACUGAUGAUUUCUAUUUAAAAGAAUAAUAUUUAAGUCCCUCAAGUUUUUUUUUUUUAACUAUUUGUAUCUUUUCUUUAAAACUUAUUAUACUCAUAAGAUAUCAACAGUCAAAUAUUGGGUCCGCCUAACUUACGUUCAACGCAAGUUACGCUCAGUCCGUCCAAUUUCAUAUAGUCCCCUUAUACUCUAUACUAUUUAUAUUUAUUCAUAAAUAUUAUAAAUUUUUUGAAAUGUAAACUUUCAUUUAACCCCUUAUACUCAAUUUUAUUUUAUUAAAACCAUAGAGUAUGAAUUCGCCCCCAUAAUUUUAAAUUCUCAAAAUAAUCUCCAUUUAAUUAAAAAUAUAAUUAUAUUAUUAUUGGUCUCAAAAAUAUAAUUAUAAUCAUUAAUUAUUAUUAUUAUUAUUAUUAUUAUUAUUAUUAUUAUUAUUAUUCUUAUUAACAAUUUAUAAUGCUUUUUAUUCUUGUUAUUAAUAAUAACAAUAAUCUAUUAAAAAAUAUUUAUGAUUAUAAUAAAAUUAUAAUUAUAAUUAUAAUUCAUUUAAAAAUAAUUAUAUUUUUAAUUAAAUGGAGGUUAUUUUGAGAAUUUAAAAUUAUGGGGGCGAAUUUAUACUCUAUGGUUUUAAUAAAAUAAAGUUGAGUAGAGGGGAAAAUAUUAUAAUUAAUUAAUCUAUUAACAAUAAUUAAUAAUAUUUUUAUUAAAUUGUUAGUAAUAAUAAUAAUAAUUAAUGAUAAUCAACAUAUUUAUGAUUAUAAUAAAAUGGAAUAAACACCGAGUCUAUAUUUAUAUAGGAGACUCUUUUAUAUUUUUAUACAUUUUAAUUUCAAGUACUUUUAGGAUUUUUUUGUUACCUUCAUAAAUAAUGAUUUUCUAGGCAUCUCAUUAUUAAACGGUCAUUUUUAAGUGUUUUUUGCUAAGUUGUUACACAUUCGAGGAUGUAAACACAUUUUUCUUGCUUCUAUUUUUUAAAUACAAAAUUAUUUUUAUUGGGUCAAGCUUAAAAUUCUGACAGAAAUUAUCAUUCAUUGGUCUCUUGAAACCCGAUAAUGAGUAUUUAAAGUCGAAGGUAGCAUUAGCAAUAUAUUUACUAUUAGUUAGAUAAUCAUUAAUUAUUAUUAUUAUUAUUAUUAUUAUUAUUAUUAUUAACAAUUUAUAAUGCUUUUUAUUCUUGUUAUUAAUAAUAACAAUAAUCUAUUAAAAAAUAUUUAUGAUUAUAAUAAAAUUAUAAUUAUAAUUAUAAUUCAUUUAAAAAUAAUUAUAUUUUUAAUUAAAUGGAGGUUAUUUUGAGAAUUUAAAAUUAUGGGGGCGAAUUUAUACUCUAUGGUUUUAAUAAAAUAAAAUUGAGUAGAGGGGGCUAAACAAAAUUUUAUUUUAAUAACAAUAAUCUAUUAAAAAAAUAUUUGUGAUUAUAAUAAAAUUAUAAUUAUAAUUAUAAUUCAUUUAAAAAUAAUUAUAUUUUUAAUUAAAUGGAGGUUAUUUUGAGAAUUUAAAAUUAUGGGGGCGAAUUCAUACUCUAUGGUUUUAAUAAAAUAAAAUUGAGUAGAGGGGGUUGAAUGAAAUUUUAUAUUUUAAAAAAUUUAUAAUAUUUAUGAAUAAAAUAUAAAUAGUAUAGAGUAUAGGGGGACUAUAUGAAAUUGGACGGGCUGAGCGUAACUUACGUUGAACGUAAGUUAGGCGGAUUGAAAAUAACUUUUUCUAAAUAUCAAAACAAUCAUCAUCAUCAUUAUUAUUGUUGAACGUAAGUUAGGCGGAUUGAAAAUAACUUUUUCUAAAUAUCAAAACAAUCAUCAUCAUCAUUAUUAUUAUUAUUUCGUGUAAUAUAGUUAUAGGGACAAAAAUCUAAGGGUGAAAUAAAAGUGGUAUUUAAUAGAAUUUAUAUUAUGACAAAAGCCAAGUGGACCCAAGUGAUAAAACUGUUUAAUUGAUGGACAGAAGAUCAAUUUUCUUUUGUGUUGCCGACACCACAGUUUGGUUUACGCUUCCCGACCCAUGAUAUAGGAGAAGUCUAUGUUACAGCUUCUGUAAGUAGCAGCAGCCAAUAGGGAACUUCCACGGGUGCAAGGUGAUGGAAAUGGGAAAGUUCGAAGCUGUUACUUGCAGCUUCUGCACCUUAGCCAUGUCCUGAUAUUCAGGACCAUGCACUUUUGUCAUCCCAGACAAUUUUUCAUAAUUAAAACAAAACAAGUGCUGCGUCCUGUGGCUGAUAUUUAGAGCAAAUGAAGUUUACCAAGUCCUCCCAUGAAAAUAUCAUAUCCCACCAUUAUCUCCAACCAUUUUAAAGGUUGAAAUUACAAGAGAAGUCGUAUCGUAUCUAUGUACUAUGUUUGUCACAAUUGUUUGGCAACCUCCAAAUUGGCCGUAUAAAGUCAUUGAUUAAUCAGAAAAAGAUACCAUUGUCGAAAACUUCGCCAUUGUGGCCCCUGAUGUAUAAAACUGACCAUAGGAUUAGCAACGGUUUGUCAGCUAGCGGAACUUACGUGUACGUCAUGCACACUUAAAUGUUAUCUAUAUACUGUGUAGGCAUUGCUCUGAACUAACCUCUUCAUUCAGAGUCCCCGAGUCAGCUGCAAGGGAAUGGCCAUGAAUAAUCUUUCAGCAGAAUCAACUGUUGCUGCAGCAAUUUCAGCCUUAGUGAUAUUCCUCUCAAUUUUCCUAUUGAUUUCAAAAAAUGGGCAAAAAAGGACACUCAAGAAGAAGCAAGCUCAACAAGCACCGGAAGCAGGGGGAGCAUGGCCUUUGAUCGGCCACCUACAUAUCUUACGAGGGCCAGAGCCAGCUCACAGAGUUUUGGGCAACAUGGCUGACAAAUAUGGACCGAUAUUCACUAUGAAAUUGGGAGUGAAGCAAGCUUUAGUGGUGAGCAACUGGGAAAUUGCCAAGGAGUGUUUUACCACAAACGACAAAGCUUUUGCAAGUCGCCCUAAAACGAUGGCCAUGGAGCUUUUGGGGUGCAACUUUUUGGCCAUAGGCUUCGCACCAUAUGGCAACUACUGGCGUCAGUCACGUAAGAUAGCCACAAUUGAGCUUCUGUCAAAUCGUCGGCUUGAGAUGCUCAAACAUGUACGUGAAUCCGAAGUGAAGGCUUCAAUCCAGAGGUUAUACAAGAACUGCAUAAGUGGCAGCAGUUCACGUAAAGUAGUUUCGGUGGAGAUGAUCCAUUGGCUCGAGGGCACAGUACUUGACAUUAUUUUGAGAAUAAUUGCCGGAAAACGUCACACUUCACAAUCAAAAGAGGUUAAUGAUUGGCAACAGCAAAUAACAAAGUUCACUGCCUUGUCUGGUCAGUUCGUGGUGUCCGAUGCGUUGCCUUUUCUGAGAUGGCUAGAUAUCGGCGGCUAUGAGAGAUUAAUGAGCAAGACAGCCAAAUAUUUUGACAUCAUUUUGCAAGAAUGGUUGGAUGAGCACAAGAUGAAAAGAGAUUCUGAUGAUGUUAAGGGCGACGAGGAUUUCAUGUAUGUGUUGUUGUCCUUGCUUGAUGAUAAUGCAGAGCAGCUUCCUGGUCGCGAUGCUGACGCUGUCAUUAAAGCAAUAUGCGUGGUAUAUUAUAUGCUCAUCAAAAGCUUUUGUGUUCGCGUGUUGUAUUGUUAUCCUUAUGUCACAGAUUGCUAACUGCUUUUAAUUUGCAGACUAUAAUCGUAGCGGCUGCAGACACCUCAGUAGUUACGUUGACAUGGGCUAUUGCUUUACUUGUCAACAAUCCCGAUGUUCUGAAGAAGGCACAAGAUGAAUUAGACAUUCAGGUUGGUACUGAAAGGCCAGUGAAUGAAUCGGACACGAGAAAUUUGGUUUACUUGCAGGCCAUUAUCAAGGAAACGAUGCGUUUAUACCCUGCUGCACCACUUUUACUACCUCACGAGUCUAUAGAAGAAUGCGUCGUCAAUGGUUACCAUGUCCCCGCAGGCACCCAACUGUUUGUUAACGCUUGGAAGAUUCAACGCGAUCCAUGUGUAUGGGAGGAGCCAUGUCAAUUUCAGCCAGAAAGAUUUCUUACGAGGGAUAAGGAUAUUGAUGUUAGGGGACAAAAUUUUGAAUUGAUACCAUUUGGGAGUGGAAGAAGAAUGUGUCCUGCAGUGUCACUAGGCCUUCAAGUUAUGCAACUAACGCUUGCUUCAUUAGUGCAUGGGUUUGAUUUUACAACCCCAUCGGAUGAACCGGUUGACAUGGGAGAGGCAAUGGGCCUAAUCAUUGCUAAGGCUACUCAGCUUGAAGUGCUUGUUAGUUCGCGCCUUUCUGCUUCUUUAUAUGGUUAAAAUUAGCUUGUGUACUUGUUAAUGCAAAUAAUUAAGUUGUACUUUUCAACAACUUAGUCAUAAAGGUGCGUUUAUCUCUUUUAAGUGUCAUGUCACUCUUGCCGUGCGUUUAGCACACUGCAUUAUGUUAAGGGUAAGUUUAAUAUAUUAUAUUGUAUUUUAAUUAUUUAAUAUUUGCUAUCUUGUAUUAAAUUGUAUCAUAUUGACAUUGUAUUGUAUUAAUAGUGUAUAACAUUUGGUACUAUAUUAUACUAUAUUAUUUUUUAUUUAUCCCAUAUUUGGUACUGC